rnacentral:rRNA from 1 species
GUAGGGAAUAUUGCGCAAUGGGGGAAACCCUGACGCAGCAACGCCGCGUGAGUGAGGAAGGUCUUCGGAUUGUAAAACUCUUUUAUUAGGGAAAAAUGUCUAGGUGGCUAAUAUCCACUUAGAGUGAUGGUACCUAAGGAAUAAGCACCGGCUAACUUCGUGCCAGCAGCCGCGGUAAUACGAAGGGUGCAAGCGUUGUUCGGAAUCAUUGGGCGUAAAGCGCGCGCAGGCGGGUCAGUAAGUCAGGUGUGAAAUCUCGGGGCUCAACUCCGAAACUGCGCCUGAAACUAUUGGUCUAGAGUAUCGGAGGGGACAGGGGAAUUUCACGUGUAGGGGUAAAAUCCGUAGAGAUGUGAAGGAACACCGGAGGCGAAGGCGCCUGUCUGGACGAUUACUGACGCUGAGGCGCGAAAGCGUGGGGAGCAAACAGGAUUAGAAACCCGUGUAGUCC